rnacentral:rRNA from 1 species
GAAUUCGCCCUUAGAGUUUGAUCCUGGCUCAGGAUGAACGCUGGCGGCGUGCUUAACACAUGCAAGUCGAACGGAGCACCCCUGAAGGAGUUUUCGGACAACGGAAGGGGCUGCUUAGUGGCGGACGGGUGAGUAACGCGUGAGGAACCUGCCUUGGAGUGGGGAAUAACAGCUGGAAACAGCUGCUAAUACCGCAUAAUAUAUCUGGGCCGCAUGGCUCUGGAUAUCAAAGAUUUAUCGCUCUGAGAUGGACUCGCGUCUGAUUAGCUGGUUGGCGGGGUAACGGCCCACCAAGGCGACGAUCAGUAGCCGGACUGAGAGGUUGGCCGGCCACAUUGGGACUGAGACACGGCCCAGACUCCUACGGGAGGCAGCAGUGGGGAAUAUUGGGCAAUGGGCGCAAGCCUGACCCAGCAACGCCGCGUGAAGGAAGAAGGCUUUCGGGUUGUAAACUUCUUUUGUCAGGGACGAAGCAAGUGACGGUACCUGACGAAUAAGCCACGGCUAACUACGUGCCAGCAGCCGCGGUAAUACGUAGGUGGCAAGCGUUAUCCGGAUUUACUGGGUGUAAAGGGCGUGUAGGCGGGACUGCAAGUCAGAUGUGAAAACCACGGGCUCAACCUGUGGCCUGCAUUUGAAACUGUAGUUCUUGAGUACUGGAGAGGCAGACGGAAUUCCUAGUGUAGCGGUGAAAUGCGUAGAUAUAUGGAAGAACACCAGUGGCGAAGGCGGCCGCCUGGCCUGUUGCUGACGCUGAGGCACGAAAGCGUGGGGAGCAAAUAGGAUUAGAUACCCUAGUAGUCCACGCCGUAAACGAUGAGGACCAAGUGUUGGGGGUGAAACCUCGGUGCCGCAGCAAACGCAAUAAGUAGUCCACCUGGGGAGUACGUUCGCAAGAAUGAAACUCAAAGGAAUUGACGGGGGCCCGCACAAGCGGUGGAGUAUGUGGUUUAAUUCGAAGCAACGCGAAGAACCUUACCAGGCCUUGACAUGGGAUGCGAAGACGCAGAGAUGCGUUGGAGGUCAACAUCCACACAGGUGGUGCAUGGUUGUCGUCAGCUCGUGUCGUGAGAUGUUGGGUCAAGUCCCGCAACGAGCGCAACCCUUGUGGCAUGUUGCUAACAGGAAAGCUGAGGACUCAUGCCAGACUGCCGGUGACAAACCGGAGGAAGGCGGGGAUGACGUCAAAUCAUCAUGCCCCUUAUGGCCUGGGCUACACACGUACUACAAUGGCGGCUACAAAGAGCGGCGAGACAGGGAUGUCGAGCGAAUCUCAUAAAAGCCGUCCCAGUUCGGAUUGGAGCCUGCAACCCGGCUCCAUGAAGUUGGAAUCGCUAGUAAUCGCGGAUCAGCAUGCCGCGGUGAAUACGUUCCCGGGCCUUGCACACACCGCCCGUCA